rnacentral:rRNA from 1 species
GACAUAGGUCGCAAACGUUAUCCGGAAUUAUUGGGCGUAAAGGAUGCGUAGAUGGUUCAGUAAGUUACUGGUGGGAAAUCGAGGCCUAACCUCGUGGAAGUUAGUAAUACUGUUGAACUUUGAGUGCAGGAGAGGUUAACGGAACUUCAUGUGGAGCGGUAAAAUGCGUAGAUAUAUGAAAGAACAUCAAUAUAGCGAAGGCAGUUAACUAUUCUGCUACUGACAUUGAGGCAUGAAAGCUGUGGGGAGCAAAACGG